CAGUCGCCGCGGUAAUACAGAGGGUGCGAGCGUUAAUCGGAUUUACUGGGCGUAAAGCGUGCGUAGGCGGCUUUUUAAGUCGGAUGUGAAAUCCCUGAGCUUAACUUAGGAAUUGCAUUCGAUACUGGGAAGCUAGAGUAUGGGAGAGGAUGGUAGAAUUCCAGGUGUAGCAGUGAAAUGCGUAGAGAUCUGGAGGAAUACCGAUGGCGAAGGCAGCCAUCUGGCCUAAUACUGACGCUGAGGUACGAAAGCAUGGGGAGCAAACAGGAUUAGAUACCCCGGUAGUCCCUGUCUCUUAUAC
rnacentral:rRNA from 1 species